AAGUAUAUAAAAUUUUAAGUAAGAUCAAUAAUUUAAUUAAUAUAUAUUGAGGUUCGAAAUUGUAUUAAGAUUAGGAUUGGUUUAGGAUUUGGUUGAGAUUUGGUUAGGUUUUAGGAUUGAAUUAAGAUUUAGGAUUUGAUUAUGGUUUGAUUAGGAUUUAAGAUAAGAUUUGGAUUUAAGAUUUGAAUUAGGAUUUAAUAAGAAUUUAGAGUUUAGGAUUAUAUUUGGAUUUGGACUAAGAUUUAGGAUUUGGAUUAGGAUUUGUUAAGGAUUUAGGAUUUUAUUAGGAUUUGGACUACUAUUUAUGAUUUGGAUUAGAUUUUUUUAAGUUUUAGGAUUUAAGAUUUGGUUAGGAUAUGCUAAAGAUUUAGGAUUUAGGAUUUAAGGUUUGAUUAGGAUUUGCUAAAGAUUUAGGAUUUAAAAUUUGAUUAGGGUUUGCUAAAAAUUUAGGAUUUAGAAUCUGAUUAGGAUUUGAUUUAGGAUUAGGAUUGAAUUAGGAUUUAGGAUUUACUUAGGAUUUAGAGUUUAGGAUUUAUUUAGAAUUUAAGAUUUAAGAUUUGCUUAGGAUUUAGACUUUAGAAUUGCUUAGAGUUUAAGAUUUUGGAUUUGGCCUAGAAUUUGAUUGAAGUUCAUUAGGAUUUUAACUAAGAUUAAAUUAGGACUUGAUUG
rnacentral:lncRNA from 1 species